UUCUUCCCCUCCUCCCCUCCCCUGUCUUGCCCGCAGCUUCACCGGCAGCGAGGGAAAGAGGGAGGAUGAGCGCGUCCAGGUUCAUAAAGUGCGUCACCGUGGGGGACGGCGCCGUCGGCAAGACUUGCAUGCUCAUCUCCUACACCUCCAACACCUUCCCCACCGACUAUGUGCCCACGGUGUUUGACAACUUCAGUGCUAAUGUUGUGGUUGAUGGCAACACUGUCAACCUCGGGCUAUGGGAUACUGCAGGUCAGGAGGACUACAACAGACUGAGACCGCUGAGUUAUCGUGGAGCUGAUGUCUUCCUUCUGGCCUUCUCGCUUAUCAGCAAGGCCAGCUAUGAGAAUGUUUCAAAGAAGUGGAUACCUGAGCUGAAGCAUUAUGCACCAGGUGUGCCUAUUAUCCUCGUGGGAACAAAGCUUGAUCUUCGAGAUGACAAGCAGUUCUUUGUGGACCAUCCUGGUGCUGUUCCUAUCACUACUGCUCAGGGGGAGGAACUAAAAAAGUUAAUAGGCGCACCCUACUACAUCGAAUGCAGCUCGAAGACCCAACUAAAUGUCAAGGGUGUAUUUGAUGCGGCAAUAAAGGUGGUACUUGCGCCACCAAAGGCGAAGAAGAAGAAAAAGGCGCAGAGGGGGGCUUGCUCCAUCUUGUGAUCUAAUCAUCGGUAGACAAAGAACAAGGGCGAAGUUGCCGCCAUGCUAUAUUAUUGUUACGUCUUGCUUCAGCGGAGCUGCACUCUCAUGGUCGUCGUCCCUCCCCCCUACCCCACCCUAGGUUACCCACCGGCAGCUGCAGCAAGGUCUCUUUGUCGAGGCAUCGGGCGAUCCAUUUGUUUGAUUUCUCUUCUUCCUGCCUUGUGAUUAUCUCGUGUGACUGACAAGUCGUGGCAAUUUAGGUAACUUGCUUAGUAGACGGUAUUUCCCGUGUUUGAGACCCCGUAAAAAAAAAGUAUCUCGUUGUUAUCUCGGUUCCAUAAGUAGAGACAUGAUGUAAUCGCACUCAGUUUAUUUUAUUUUUGCUUGUUAUUUUCACUUCAAUGGAAAAUUAUGUUUCCUUUCUUGUUAUGGUAUC
rnacentral:rRNA from 1 species